ensembl:lncRNA LINC00616 long intergenic non-protein coding RNA 616
ACUAUUUGAAUGUGUGUUGCUCCUUGUGGCAGGUAUACUGUUCCAAUGCCCUGGGAUCUCUGUAGUGGUCGGUACUGUAUUGAUUAUAAAUGGUGAAGUCCUAGUAUCUUGCUAGAGUGAGCUGGCCAGGAUGGUGGAGCUCUACCACCAUUUCACAGGUUAUAGACAGGGGCCACCAGGUUUCAGGAAAGCAGCAAUGACCCCUCAGUAAUAGUUGGAAAGUGUGAUAUGACACUGAGCUUCACUGUGUUGGUGAAGAAGAGCUGCAGUUUGCCUCCACCUCUGAAGAAGCACAAUACACCUUUCUGGGUUACCAAUGGGAUACUUCCCAACAGCUUUGUCAUCACAUACAAUAUUCUCAAACAAGAUCUUAAUGGCAUCUACUUUCUCCAGGAACACAGCCCCUGACCUGUGUGUGUUUGCGUAGAGAAGGCAUGCUAUGUACCCCCUAGGAUAUCAAGAUUCCUGUAGCAGAUUGAGCUCUGGCAGUUGAUCUCAGUGGCUUGAUAGAGUGUCAUUAUAAAAACGCACCUGGAAGAUUCUGUGGAAAAGACAACCUCAGAAGACCAAGAGGCUGACUUUGCAAGAGAGAGUCCGUUUACCACUUAGAACCGUGAACACCACCCCCGCCCUCAUUUAUCUCCAGACUUGAACUAGUGGUUAAAUCCCAACAUGUCCCAGAGAAGUCAAAAGCAUUGUAAAAUCUGGGUGAGAAGAUUUCUUUCUUUUGAUCUUAUGACAACAAAACUUGGGACUAUGUGUACUAGUAAUUGACCUUGGACAGGUAACGUGUAAUUUUUCAAAAGAAUAAAUGUAUCACUCUGA